GCCCUCGUAGCUCAGGGGUAGAGCACUUCCUUGGUAAGGAAGGGGUCACCGGUUCAAUUCCGGUCGAGGGCUCCA
rnacentral:tRNA from 1 species